UACGAAGGGGGCUAGCGUUGCUCGGAAUUACUGGGCGUAAAGGGAGCGUAGGCGGACAUUUAAGUCAGGGGUGAAAUCCCGAGGCUCAACCUCGGAACUGCCUUUGAUACUGGAUGUCUUGAGUGUGAGAGAGGUGAGUGGAACUCCGAGUGUAGAGGUGAAAUUCGUAGAUAUUCGGAAGAACACCAGUGGCGAAGGCGGCUCACUGGUCCAUUACUGACGCUGAGGUGCGAAAGCGUGGGGAGCAAACAGG
rnacentral:rRNA from 1 species